rnacentral:rRNA from 1 species
GAUGAACGCUAGCUACAGGCUUAACACAUGCAAGUCGAGGGGCAGCAUGGUCUUAGCUUGCUAAGGCCGAUGGCGACCGGCGCACGGGUGAGUAACACGUAUCCAACCUGCCGUCUACUCUUGGACAGCCUUCUGAAAGGAAGAUUAAUACAAGAUGGCAUCAUGAGUCCGCAUGUUCACAUGAUUAAAGGUAUUCCGGUAGACGAUGGGGAUGCGUUCCAUUAGAUAGUAGGCGGGGUAACGGCCCACCUAGUCUUCGAUGGAUAGGGGUUCUGAGAGGAAGGUCCCCCACAUUGGAACUGAGACACGGUCCAAACUCCUACGGGAGGCAGCAGUGAGGAAUAUUGGUCAAUGGGCGAGAGCCUGAACCAGCCAAGUAGCGUGAAGGAUGACUGCCCUAUGGGUUGUAAACUGCUUUAUAAGGGAAUAAAGUGAGUCUCGUGAGGCUUUUUGCAUGUACCUUAUGAAUAAGGACCGGCUAAUU